rnacentral:rRNA from 1 species
UACGGGGGGAGCAAGCGUUGUUCGGAUUUACUGGGCGUAAAGGGCGCGUAGGCGGUCAGCACAAGUCGGUUGUGAAAUCUCCGAGCUUAACUCGGAAAGGUCAACCGAAACUGUGCGACUAGAGUGCAGAAGGGGCAACUGGAAUUCUUGGUGUAGCGGUGAAAUGCGUAGAUAUCAAGAGGAACACCUGCGGCGAAGGCGGGUUGCUGGGCUGACACUGACGCUGAAGCGCGAAAGCCAGGGGAGCAAACGGG